UGAGGCUCGUAAGCCGUGGAAGGCAAUUCACCUAGGAGAGCAAACUCUAAACAAACCCGGGCAGGUGAGGCUCGUUAGCCGUGGUAGGCAAUUCACCUAGGAGAGCAAACUCUAUACAAACCCGGGCAGGUGGAGGUCGUUAGCCGUGGGAGGCAAUUCACCUAGGAGAGCAAACUCCGAACAAUAAACCCGGGCAGGUGGAGCUCGUCAGCCGUGGUAGGCAAUUCACCUAGGAGAGCAAACUCUAAACAAACCCGGGCAGGUGGAGGUCGUUAGCCGUGGUAGGCAAUUCACCUAGGAGAGCAAACUCUAAACAAACCCGGGCAGGUGAGGCUCGUUAGCCGUGGUAGGCAAUUCACCUAGGAGAGCAAACUCUAUACAAACCCGGGCAGGUGGAGGUCGUUAGCCGUGGGAGGCAAUUCACCUAGGAGAGCAAACUCCGAACAACAAACCCGGGCAGGUGGAGCUCGUUAGCCGUGGGAGGCAAUUCACCUAGGAGAGCAAACUCCGAACAACAAACCCGGGCAGGUGGAGCUCGUCAGCCGUGGUAGGCAAUACACCUAGGAGAGCAAACUCCGAACAACAAACCCGGGCAGGUGGAGCUCGUCAGCCGUGGUAGGCAAUCUGCCUAGGAGAGCAAACUCCGAACAAUAAACCCGGGCAGGUGGAGGUCGUCAGCCGUGGUAGGCAGUCUGCCUAGGAGAGCAAACUCCGAACAAUAAACCCGGGCAGGUGGAGGUCGUCAGCCGUGGUAGGCAAUCUGCCUAGGAGAGCAAACUCCGAACAAUAAACCCGGGCAGGUGGAGGUCGUCAGCCGUGGUAGGCAAUCUGCCUAGGAGAGCAAACUCUAAAUAAACCCGGGCUUGUGGUGCUCGUUAUACUGUCGUAGACAAUCCACGCGAUGGGAACACCAAAGAAAAGGAAAAUAAAAAAGAACACCAGAAAAAUGGAAAAUACAGAAACGAAACAUCAAGAAAAGAAACAAAAAGAUCAUCCACCUUUAGGCCCUAACAUCGCCAAAAUUAUGAGUGGGUCUCUUCUGGGGAGAAAGCGGCUCAUCCAGACCAAAGAACAUCAACAAAAGGAUGAUAUGAAUAAAUGAACAUAAAAAAAACAAAGAAAAACACAUCAAGGAAAGAAAAAUAUAACAAACAUCAUCCACCUUCCGGCCCUGACUAACAUCACCAAAAUUAUGGGUGGGUCUCUUCUGGGGAGAAAGCGGCUCACCCAGACCAAAGAACAUCAACAAGGGAUGAUAUAGAAAAGAACACCAAAAAAAUAUGGAAAAAGAACAGAAAAAACAUCGAAAAAGAAAAGCAACAGAAAUAAAUGAGCAACAUCGAGAAAAGAGAAAUACAAAGAAACAUCAUCCACCUUUCGGCCCCAAACAACAUCACCAAAAUUAUGGAUGGGUCUCUUCUGGGAGGAAAGCGGCUCAUCCAGACCAAGGAACAUCAACAAAAGGAUGAUGGGAAAAAAAUAACAACAAAAAACAUCAAAAAGAAGUAAAAAGAAAAAGACCAGGAAAACAUCGAAAAAGAAAACAAAAGCAAUAAAAAGAACGAAAAACACGACAUCAAGAAAAUAAAAUAAAACAAACAUCAUCCACCUUUCGGCCCUAACAACAUCUCCAAAAUUAUGGGUGGGUCUCUUCUGGGAGGAAAGCGGCUCACCCAGACCAACGAACAUCAACAAAAGGAUGAUAGGAAAAAAGAACACCAAAAAAGAACAUCAAAAAAGAAAACCAACAGCAAGAAAACACAAAGGAAAAAAGAAAGAAAAAGAAAAGAAAAAGAAA